rnacentral:rRNA from 1 species
GUCUAGCCGUAAACUAUUAACCCACACUACCCGCGCCAGGGAACUACGAGCCUUAGCUUAAAACCCAAAGGACUUGACGGUGUCCCACCCAACUAGAGGAGCCUGUUCUAUAAUCGAUAAACCCCGCUUCACCCAACCCCCCCUUGCUUUAUCAGCCUGUAUACCUUCGUCGUAAACCCGCCGUAUGAAUAUCCUUAAGUGGAUUAAUGGCUUCCCCGACCAACACGUCAGGUCAAGGUGCAGCCAAUGGGGGUGGUAAGUAAUGGGCUACAAUCUCUAACCUAGAACAAACGAAGUACUGCAUGAAACACAGUCAUGAAGGAGGAUUUAGUAGUAAAAAGAAAGUAGCGUGUUCUUUUUAACACGGCCCUGGGACGUGUACACACCGCC